ACCCUGACACCCCCCUGCACCUCUUCCCACCCUGGUACUGGUAGGUAUACAUACGGUACGUCAUACGAGACGAGGCGGCGGAGCGGGGGGGUCAGGGAGGCGGGGGCCGUUCAGGCCCGGGCGUAGGAGCGGGCGAGGUGCGCGGCGCGGAGGUCGGCGGGGUCGACGGCGGCGGCCCAGUUGGCGGGGCGGUAGUGGCCCGUGACGGGGUCGGGCACCCACGAGAUCUCGGAGCUGGCAGCGGCGCGCCCGCCGGCCUCCCUGGCCUCGCCCGCACCAGCCGCGCCCUCCGCCGCGGCCGCCGCGCGCCUCAUGGCCCCGGACGCCGCCGACGCCGCGUAGCCCCUGAUGCUGGCUGCCCUGGGUGCCAGCGACGCGAGCACGGCGCGCGCGGAGGAGAGAGCGACGAGAGCCAUCGGACCAGCUGCUGGCCUUUCUGCUGCUUGGGCAGGCAAGCAAAAGGAUCGGACGGCUGGCUGUGGCUGGCUGGUGGCGCUCUGCUGCUCUCUCCCGUGCUCUGCUUUGCGGCUGCU
rnacentral:lncRNA from 1 species